AAAUCGCGCGAUAUUGACAUAAAUAAAUCAAAUGUUUUGUGUGUACUCGGCGAACUGGUCGUGUCGCAGACGGCGGAAAGUUUUUUCGACCAACCCACGAAAAUCCAAAUAAUUUAAUAAUUACGUCGGACUUUUCGAGCGGAGGUAGAUCGAGUCUGGAACCUAACAAUAAAAUAAAAUUUUUCAAGUGAACGUUACUACUAGUAAGGCCCCUUUAGAACACAAUACGUUUUUAAUGCUUUUAGCCUGGUUUUCAAGAUAACUUUUGAAAAGUUAAAAUUUUAAAAAAAUUUGCCCGGGUUUUCGAAGUCACCCUUUUUUAAAAAAGUCAAAAUUUUAAGAAAUAUAUCCUGUUUUAUCAAACGUGAAUACGGUUUCGGGCAAAAAAAGUUACCAUUUAAAAACACUUAAAAUUCGUCUUUUUCCCUUGGUAUUUUAACAGUCUUCUUAAUUAAAAGUUAAAAUUCGCUUUGUGGCGGCACAAUAACACGUCGGUAAGCAGAGAAAGAUAAGUGGCUUCGUGGUCCAGUGGUAAAGAUACUUGCCCGGAAAGCAAAGAGACGUGGGUUCGAUUCCCACCGAGGCAUGACAUUUUUCUCUGCUUACCUACAAAUUUUUAUCACCUUACACGCUUCAGAUGAUUUUGUGGUUGAUUGCACUUGGGAGGAGGAGAAUGCUAAAAAAGCCCCGUUUGUGCGAAUAUUACCAAAACAUUUUUCGGUAAAAGAUGUCACAUAUGUGAGAAAAAGACAAGGAUGCUACUUCAUUGUGAAAUAUACUUUUGAAAACGGGGAUGACCUCCCAACAGGAAAGUGAUUGUCAAUCGGAUUAAUAAAUAUUCGCCUGCAGAUACCAUGAUCGUAUCUGAAUGGAUAGAACCACCGAAAUCUAUCAACAUAGAGUACCUCGUUUGGUGCAGAUGCAGCCGGAUGGAUUUUGAGUCGCCCAUACAAACACCAAAAUUAUGGACUGUUAAAAAUGCCCUGGAAAAAUUUCACUUAUAAAGGACCGUUAAAUAGUUAUGCUGAUGAAACCUCUAUAUUACUUGUUAUAUGAAGAAUUUAAACUGAAAAUGUAUUUAAUUUUUUUCAAAGAAGGGACUAAACUUUCAUAUUAUAUUUA